GUGGGGAAUAUUGCACAAUGGGCGAAAGCCUGAUGCAGCGACGCCGCGUGAGCGAAGAAGUAUUUCGGUAUGUAAAGCUCUAUCAGCAGGGAAGAUAAUGACGGUACCUGACUAAGAAGCACCGGCUAAAUACGUGCCAGCAGCCGCGGUAAUACGUAUGGUGCAAGCGUUAUCCGGAUUUACUGGGUGUAAAGGGAGCGCAGGCGGUGCGGCAAGUCUGAUGUGAAAGCCCGGGGCUCAACCCCGGUACUGCAUUGGAAACUGUCGUACUAGAGUGUCGGAGGGGUAAGCGGAAUUCCUAGUGUAGCGGUGAAAUGCGUAGAUAUUAGGAGGAACACCAGUGGCGAAGGCGGCUUACUGGACGGUAACUGACGUUGAGGCUCGAAAGCGUGGGGAGCAAACAGGAUUAGAAACCCGUGUAGUCC
rnacentral:rRNA from 1 species